GAAUAUUGCGCAAUGGGCGGAAGCCUGACGCAGCGACGCCGCGUGGGGGAUGACGGCCUUCGGGUUGUAAACCCCUUUCAGCAGGGACGAAGCUAACGUGACGGUACCUGCAGAAGAAGCGCCGGCUAACUACGUGCCAGCAGCCGCGGUAAUACGUAGGGCGCAAGCGUUGUCCGGAAUUAUUGGGCGUAAAGAGCUCGUAGGCGGUUUGUCGCGUCUGUCGUGAAAGCCCACGGCUUAACCGUGGGUCUGCGGUGGAUACGGGCAGACUAGAGGCAGGUAGGGGAGAAUGGAAUUCCCGGUGUAGCGGUGAAAUGCGCAGAUAUCGGGAGGAACACCGGUGGCGAAGGCGGUUCUCUGGGCCUGUACUGACGCUGAGGAGCGAAAGCGUGGGGAGCGAACAG
rnacentral:rRNA from 1 species